UCGGGAAUUUUGGGCAAUGGGCGAAAGCCUGACCCAGCAACGCCGCGUGAGGGAUGAAGUAUUUCGGUAUGUAAACCUCGAAAGAAUGGGAAGAAUAAAUGACGGUACCAUUUAUAAGCUCCGGCUAACUACGUGCCAGCAGCCGCGGUAAUACGUAGGGAGCAAGCGUUGUUCGGAUUUACUGGGCGUAAAGAGUGCGUAGGCGGUUUUCUAAGUUCGGUGUGAAAUCUCCCGGCUUAACUGGGAGGGUGCGCCGAAGACUGGGAAGCUGGAGUGUGGGAAAGGCAGGCGGAAUUCCUGGUGUAGCGGUGAAAUGCGUAGAUAUCAGGAGGAACACCGGCGGUGUAGACGGCUUGCUAGACCAUAACUGACGCUGAGGCACGAAAGCGUGGGUAGCAAACA
rnacentral:rRNA from 1 species